rnacentral:rRNA from 1 species
CCUACGGGAGGCAGCAGUGGGGAAUAUUGCACAAUGGGGGAAACCCUGAUGCAGCGACGCCGUGUGAGUGAAGAAGUAUUUCGGUACGUAAAGCUCUAUCAGCAGGGAAGAAAAUGACGGUACCUGACUAAGAAGCCCCGGCUAACUACGUGCCAGCAGCCGCGGUAAUACGUAGGGGGCAAGCGUUAUCCGGAUUUACUGGGUGUAAAGGGAGCGUAGACGGCAGCGCAAGUCUGGAGGGAAAUCCCAUGGCUUAACCAUGGACCUGCUUUGGAAACUGUGCAGCUAGAGUGCAGGAGAGGUAAGCGGAAUUCCUAGUGUAGCGGUGAAAUGCGUAGAUAUUAGGAGGAACACCAGUGGCGAAGGCGGCUUACUGGACUGUAACUGACGUUGAGGCUCGAAAGCGUGGGGAGCAAACAGGAUUAGAUACCCUUGUAGUC